rnacentral:rRNA from 1 species
UACGAAGGGGGCUAGCGUUGCUCGGAAUCACUGGGCGUAAAGCGCACGUAGGCGGCUUCUUAAGUCAGGGGUGAAAUCCUGGAGCUCAACUCCAGAACUGCCCUUGAUACUGAGGAGCUCGAGUCCGGAAGAGGUGAGUGGAACUGCGAGUGUAGAGGUGAAAUUCGUAGAUAUUGGGAAGAACACCGGUGGCGAAGGCGGCGCUCUGGACCGAGACUGACGCUGAGGCGCGAAAGCGUGGGGAGCAAACAGG